CAUGCAGUCGAACGAGAAAGUUCCUUCGGGAGCGAUUAAAGUGGCGCACGGGUGAGUAACGCGUAGACAAUCUGCCCUUCAGUCUGGGACAACUUUUCGAAAGGAGAGCUAAUACCGGAUAACAAUGUUUAACAUAAGUUAAGUGUUUGAAAGCUUUAUGUGCUGAAGGAGGGGUCUGCGUCCCAUUAGCUAGUUGGUAAGGUAAAGGCUUACCAAGGCAACGAUGGGUAGCGGGUUUGAGAGGACGAUCCGCCACACUGGAACUGAGACACGGUCCAGACUCCUACGGGAGGCAGCAGUGGGGAAUAUUGCACAAUGGAGGAAACUCUGAUGCAGCAAUGUCGCGUGAGUGAAGAAGGCCCUUGGGUCGUAAAGCUCUUUUAUGGGGGAAGAUGAUGACGGUACCCCAAGAAUAAGCACCGGCUAACUAUGUGCCAGCAGCCGCGGUAAUACAUAGGGUGCGAGCGUUGUUCGGAAUUACUGGGCGUAAAGGGCGCGCAGGCGGAAUAGUAAGUCGGAGGUGAAAGCCCGGGGCUCAACCCCGGAGGGUCUUUCGAAACUGCUAAUCUAGAGAGGGUCAGGGGCCGGCAGAAUUCCUGGUGUAGAGGUGAAAUUCGUAGAUAUCAGGAGGAAUACCGGUGGCGAAGGCGGCCGGCUGGGGCCACUCUGACGCUGAGGCGCGAAAGCGUGGGGAGCAAACAGGAUUAGAUACCCUGGUAGUCCACGCCGUAAACGAUGAGCACUGGACGUCCGGAGGGUUCGACCCUUCUGGGUGUCUCAGCUAACGCAUUAAGUGCUCCGCCUGGGGAGUACGGUCGCAAGACUAAAACUCAAAGGAAUUGACGGGGGCCCGCACAAGCGGUGGAACAUGUGGUUUAAUUCGAUGCAACGCGAGAACCUUACCUGGUCUUGACAUCCUCGGACCGCUUCAGAGAUGAGUUUCCUCUUCGGAGGCCGAGUGACAGUGCUGCAUGGCUGUCGUCAGCUCGUGUCGU
rnacentral:rRNA from 1 species